GGGCUGUGGUGGUCAUUGCAACACUCGCUGUGGUGUACGUUUACAGGAAACGUAAGGAAGCCAAAACACAGCAAGAGACAGAGGGUGAACCAUACUACGAGACCAUUGAUGUCAGAGCUUCCUCUGCCAAUGUCUCCCAGAAGGAUUCAGGCCCUUACAUGGACCUUGGAAAGCACCAAAAAGAUAUUUAUCACAAUUUACGUCGUAAUGGCACCAGGAAGUAGAUAGCUGUGACAACGUAGAUCGAUUUCAAGAUCCUUUCAAUCAUCUACAAAUCUCUUCAGGCUCUGGC